rnacentral:rRNA from 1 species
CCUACGGGAGGCAGCAGUGGGGAAUUUUGGACAAUGGGCGCAAGCCUGAUCCAGCAAUGCCGCGUGAGUGAAGAAGGCCUUCGGGUUGUAAAGCUCUUUUGUCAGGGAAGAAACGGUGGGGGCUAAUAUCCCUCGCUAAUGACGGUACCUGAAGAAUAAGCACCGGCUAACUACGUGCCAGCAGCCGCGGUAAUACGUAGGGUGCAAGCGUUAAUCGGAAUUACUGGGCGUAAAGCGUGCGCAGGCGGUUUUGUAAGUCUGUCGUGAAAGCCCCGGGCUCAACCUGGGAAUUGCGAUGGAGACUGCAAGGCUUGAAUCUGGCAGAGGGGGGUAGAAUUCCACGUGUAGCAGUGAAAUGCGUAGAGAUGUGGAGGAACACCGAUGGCGAAGGCAGCCCCCUGGGUCAAGAUUGACGCUCAUGCACGAAAGCGUGGGGAGCAAACAGGAUUAGAUACCCUGGUAGUCCACGCCCUAAACGAUGUCUACUAGUUGUCGGGUUUUAAUUAACUUGGUAACGCAGCUAACGCGUGAAGUAGACCGCCUGGGGAGUACGGUCGCAAAGAUUUAAAAACUUCAAAAUGAAGUUAGUAGCGNGNGAGAGCGACGACGACGACGAGGAGGAGGNG